rnacentral:misc_RNA from 1 species
UCUCCGUAGGUGAACCUGCGGAGGGAUCAUUACAGAGUUCAUGCCCUACCGGGUCGAUCUCCCACCCUAUGUUAUUAUUACUUUGUUGCUUUGGCGGGCCGUUAGGCUCCGGCCCGACUACCGGCCCCGGCUGGUAAGCGCCCGCCAGAGGACCCAAAACCCUGAAUAUUAGUGUCGUCUGAUUACUAUAUAAUAGUUAAAACUUUCAACAACGGAUCUCUUGGUUCUG